rnacentral:rRNA from 1 species
ACUGCUCAGUAACACGUGGCCAACCUGCCCUUGGGACGGGAACACCCCCGGGAAACUGGGGUUAAUUCCCGAUAGGUGAAGAAGUCUGGAAUGAAUCUUCGCUCAAAAGACGUUUAUGUCAUGCUCAUAUUCGUCGCCCAGGGAUGGGGCCGCGACCGAUCAGGUAGUUGGUGAGGCAAUGGCUCACCAAGCCUUUUACCGGUGCGGGCCGUGAGAGCGGGAGCCCGGAGAUGGGCACUGAGACAAGGGCCCAGGCCCCACGGGGCGCAGCAGUCGCGAAAACUUUGCAAUACACGAAAGUGUGACAGGGCUAUCCCGAGUGCCAUCCGCUGAGGAAGGCUUUUACCCAGUAUAAAUAGCUGGGAGAAUAAGGAGAGGGCAAGUCUGGUGUCAGCCGCCGCGGUAAUACCAGCUCUCCGAGUAGUGUGGACGUUUAUUGGGCCUAAAGCAUCCGUAGCUUGCUAGAUAAGUCCUCUGUUAAAUCCACCGAUUCAAUCGUUGGAUUGCGGGGGAUACUGUUUGGCUAGGGGACGGGAGAGGUCGACGGUAUUUCCGGGGUAGGGGUGAAAUCCUAUAAUCCCGGGAAGACCACCAGUGGCGAAGGCUGUCGACUAGAACGCGCCCGACGGUGAGGGAUGAAAGCUGGGGGAGCGAACCGGAUUAGAUACCCGGGUAGUCCCAGCUGUAAACGAUGCAGGCUAGGUGUUUGGGCGGCCACGAGCCGCCCUAGUGCCGCAGGGAAGCUGUUAAGCCUGCCGCCUGGGGAGUACGGCCGCAAGGCUGAAACUUAAAGGAAUUGGCGGGGGAG